GCGCACGCGAGGGAGCACUCUCCCCUGAGUGCUCUCUGCCCAGCUCCCUUGCGCGCACCGCACUGAUGCCGGAGCCGGAAUAUGACAUCAUAUUCCGGCUCCGGCAACAGUAAGAAGUGCGCAAGGGAGCUGGGCAGAGAGCACUGAGGGGAGAGUGCUCCCUCGCGCAC